GAUGAACGCUGGCGGCGUGCCUAAUACAUGCAAGUCGAGCGAACAGACGCUGCGCUUGCGCCUUGCACGUUUGCGGCGCGCGGGUGAGUAACACGUGUAUAACCCCCCUAUCAUACUGAGAUCACUUCGGGAAACCGGAUAUUAUACCGGAGAAUAUAUUGCUCCGUAUGGUGGAAUAGUAAAAUACGGCUUUUCGGUCACUAAUAGAUGGAUAUGCGCUGCAUUAGCUAGUUGGUACGGUAACAGCUUACCAAGGCGACGAUGCGUAGACGAACUGAGAGAGUGGUCGGCCACAUUGGAACUGAGACACGGACCAGACUCCUACGGGACGCAGCAGUAGGGAAUGUUCCGCAGUGGGCGAAAGCCUGACGGAGCAACGGCGCGUGAGAGAUGACAGCGCUCGGAGCGUAAAGCUCUGUUAUGAGGGAAAAACCACUGUGUAAGGAACCAAAGAGGUAGUGACGGUACCUAAUCAGAAAGCAACGGCUAACUACGUG
rnacentral:rRNA from 1 species